AUAACUGUCAAUGCUUUGCAGUCAGUGCAGAAGGCUGUAUAACAGUCACUAAACAUAGUAAACAUGCUCGACAACAACAAUAACAAUAUCGAGAAGAAGAACAGCAAAAGUUAUUGGAAGUUGCUGCUAGAAAACAGAGAUUCGUAGAACGCAGAAUGAUAGGUGCUGGCAAGAUCAUGCUCGAAGAUGAAUCCACUAUCUGUGAAGACAUGCUUAAUGCUUUGAAUGUUAGUGGUCUCCAAGCAAAGGCAGCUGCUUUCAAUGAUUACAAUUUCGAGGCACCUAACCGAAGUCCAUUGGCAAUAGACAAUCAAAGAACAGCCAUUCUUGAACUUCUAAAAAAAAAAAUGUCAUCAUUGUUAAGGGCUUUACCGGUUGUGGUAAAACCACUCAAGUUCCCCAAUUUGUUUUAGAUGAAUGCUACCGAACCAAAACUCCUUGCAACAUUGUUGUGACUCAACCAAGGCGCAUUGCAGCCAUUAGCAUAGCCAAAAGGGUCUGCUAUGAAAGAAAUUGGACAUUGGGAACCGUUGUUGGAUACAGAGUUGGCAUGGAACAUCAAGUAAGUGAAUCAACUUUGCUCACCUAUCUGACCACAGGAUGCCUUCUUGAAGCAAUAGUAGCCAAAAAAUCCCUUGAAGGCUAUACCCACAUCAUUAUUGACGAAGUGCACGAGAGGGAUGAAGAUACUGACUUCCUUCUCUUGGUCGUCCGCAAGUUCCUCCGUCAUACGAGGACGACAACUAAAGUCUUUCUGAUGUCAGUUACUUUUGAUGCCGACAAAUUUGGCCAAUAUUUCAAUAGCCCCGUCAUUGGAAACUUUCCGUUCACGUCCAAAAGACCAUUUCGCAACGCUCCCAUAAUUGAAGUGGAGCACGGUGAACCUCACGACAUACGUGUUUAAUAUAGUGAACAUCUUCAAAAACUAGAGUUUCUAGGGGGGAGUAUGAACUACCCCUAUGAUAGCGUACCGGAAAUCCAUAAGCUCAAAUACGAAGCGGUCGCUAAGUUAAUUUCGGCUUUCGAUGGCAGACGAGAGAUACAGCGCUACGGUCGCCAUUCAAAAUCCAAAAUAUGAAAACAUUUCC